GCCUACAGAAGUGGCCUACUGGUUAGCGCUUCGGACUUGUAACUGGAGGGUUGCCGGUUCGAACCCCGACCAGUAGGCA
rnacentral:tRNA from 1 species